AACGAACGCUGGCGGCGUGGAUAAGACAUGCAAGUCGAACGGGACAAGUAGCAAUAUUUGUCUAGUGGCGAACGGGUGCGUAACACGUGGGCAACAUGCCUGGAAGAGCGGGAUAGCCCGGGGAAACUCGGAUUAAUACCGCAUGUGACAACGGGGCGGAUUCGCCCUGUUUUCAAAGGUGGGGACCGCAAGGCCUGCCGCUUCCAGAUUGGCCCGCGUCCUAUCAGCUAGUUGGCGGGGUAACGGCCCACCAAGGCGACGACGGGUAGCUGGUCGGGGAGGACGACCAGCCACACUGGAACUGAGACACGGUCCAGACACCUACGGGUGGCAGCAGUCGAGAAUCUUUCACAAUGGGGGAAACCCUGAUGGAGCGACGCCGCGUGGAGGAUGACGGUCUUCGGAUUGUAAACUCCUGUCAUGAAAGAACAAGCGGAGCGGGUGAACAGCCCGCCGAGUUGAUAGUAUUUCAAGAGGAAGGGACGGCUAACUUCGUGCCAGCCGCCGCGGUAAAAC
rnacentral:rRNA from 1 species